GCUUAGGAGACCAAAACCAAACUCAAAGACCAUGACCACACUAAUAUCCGCUGGUGUGGUUAUUAUGCAAUGAAAACUACAAAUACAUAUGGACCAAAAGCCUACUAAAACUUGAAGAAAAUAAUAAAUUAAAGAAAUUCCAAGCUUUACCAUAAACAGCUGUAACUUAAAUCUUAAAUCCCUUGGACACACUUUACAGGAGGAAGUCAAUGGGAUGAAGCCAGAGCAGAAGAUGACUGAGCAGAAAUUAACAAAGUACAUCAGUCCCAGCAUGUCCUUGAGGAGUACCUGGAACAACUAAUCUCGGGAGUCUGUGCUUCCUCUAGAGUACCAGUCAUUUGGAAAGUUAUGUGUGUUACCCUUGGCACUGGAUGAUUGCAACAGUAAGUGGCAACUGGGAUAUUUCUCCAGAGCUUCUACAACAACAAAUUGAGAGUUUCACAAGCACCUGGGGCCCAGCAGACGUUGGGAAGCCUAUUCUGGGACUCGCCUCCAUCUAAAUGAUUUGAAAAUUCAGCUCCUGAACACAGCCAGAUUGCUGUCAGCAAUUCGAAUAAGUUUUAACAACACUGGAUCCACCUCAAGGUUAUUUCUUCAAUAUCAUACAGAAAAUAUUGUAAAUGAAGGAAAUAUGAUGCAAAGUGGUA
rnacentral:lncRNA from 1 species